CAGGCUGACGAUUGACUUUGAGACACUAUUUCCAACAUAGAUUUGAUGAGGUUUCUUGAGCCACAUAAUUAUCCAGCCUCCACAGGUAUCCACAUGAGAUUCAUCGUUUGAUCAGAGUUUGUCUAAGUCCUCGCGGUGCUAGCUUCUUUACAGACUUUCCUCUUGAUGGCUGAUUCGAUGCCUUCUUUAAAUUUCUCAGACUCCUCCAAAGAUGAAGAAAGCUUUUAGGAGGAUUAAAAGGUGAUGGAAGAAGAUGUAGAGGAAAAACUAUUUCUCUUUUUCUCUCUUCUAAAAUCUCAACACCCAAACCCUAGGAAACCAAGGGUUAUUUUUCUACACGCUAUGAAAGGAAGCACCCACCCUUUGAUCCCAUGCCCCAAAAAUAUUUUCAUGCUAACAACUCAUGGAGACUUUCUCACAGUGAAAUCUAAUUAGUUUUAGCACAAGAAACAAAAUCCAUUUUAAGGUAGGCAUCCCUAAGUGUUUUGAUAAAACCAAACACUUAAAAAAAUAAGGAUAAGGGCUUAACAUGUUUGAAUUCAAAAUAAUUUUGAACUCAAAACCAAAACAAAUUUUUAUCCAAAAUGGGCAUGGAGCAGAAGGGGCGACAUUCCUUCAGAUUUGCAUGAAAACAUUCAUGCUAAAAAUAAAAUGGCAUGACAAUGGUGGCAUCCAGAAAAGGGUGGCACAA
rnacentral:lncRNA from 1 species